rnacentral:lncRNA from 1 species
UUCUAAAAUCUAAUCCAGAAUUAUAUUUCAGAGUUUGGCAGACCUGCACAGAAAUAAGACUUUGAAGUCAAUAAUCAAUUUGAAAUAUUCAUUUUAUUCCAGGUUAAUUCUUUUCCAACCUCUGAGCCUAACACUCCUAUUCUUAAAUGCCACAAAUUAGGCAAAAUCCUUUUCUUCUUCCGGUCUCCAUUCUGGUGUUGAUUUCUAGCCACAUUCCAGAAAAGGCUCAGCAACCAACCAAAGUUCUAAGAUUGAUUUAUUGCCCUCAGCAUCAAUUAGAAGAUCUUUACAAAAAGUCCUCUAUCAGAACUACUGCUAAGACAGUGUGAGAGAGAGCUUUGAUGUGUGCAGGUGCGCGCACACACACACACACACACACACACACACACAUAAACACACACAGGGGAGGGGCAAGGAGAAUGCAGUAUAUGUACCACUGUUUGUGAGCCAUAAUCUAAGAACUCUUCUCUCUGAAUUAAGGAACCUCAACAAAACUCUAAAGUGCAAAGCAUCUUUACAAAAGCAAGAAUACUGCCCAAAUGCUACUUAAUGCCAUAGGUGAAGUUACGCUCCCAUGACCAGAGAAACAACGUCCAAAGAAUCAAACAACAUUUCACCAGCACCACUGACACUUGACAGGAACCAGAAUUACCUUGAAUUUUGUUGGCUGUACGUCCACCACUCAGUGAAAGGGACAGACACACACACACCAAAAGCCUGCAGCAUGGAGAUCAGGCGCUCACAUAUGCGGGGCGCGCACACACACACACACACACACACACACACACACACACACACGAAAGAAAAGUUGCUCGAAAGCCCUACCUGAGGAUGGCCGUGUCCCCCUGCCUCACGGUGAUGUUGUCUGUGCCUCGGUUAAAAUCCACGCUUCGAACGGGCAGUCCUGUGGGGAGAAGGCAGAGCAAUCUCAGUAGGACCAGAGGCAACUGUUUCCGAUCCGGCUGCACUCUUCCGACCAUGGUGGCCGCAAGGAGGUCAGUCCGAGCUGGGCUCCGGAGGGCGCGCUGCUCCGCGGAGAGAGGGCUCUACGGACCGGGGCGCGCAGUGUUCCAGGUGCUCCUUCUUCCCACUUCGCCUCUCCUUUCCCUCGCUCAGUCUCUUUUCCCUCUAAGUCUUAACAAAGCCCUCCUAAAAACCCAAGCGGGGGUGAGGGAGAAAGUCGAAGGAACAAAAUUUGUAAAAGGACUGCAGGAACAGAAAACCCUCUUUAAAAGAUGCAGAGAAGACUGCCAAAUGCAGCGGUGCUUCCCUGGUCUCUCUGUGGCUGGAUGCUCCUCUGCCAGCGCCGGGGCUGAGCGCCUUCUCCCGGAAGAAAAAAGCCAGAGACUGUGCUAA